CAAUAGCGUAUAUUAAAGUUGUUGCAGUUAAAAAGCUCGUAGUUGGAUUUGUGGUGUAUAGUGCGUUCCGGGCACUUGUUGUCUGAGUAACUUGCUGUUGCCAUCCUUGGGUGGAACCUGUGUGGCAUUAGGUUGUCGUGCAGGGGAUGCCCAUCGUUUACUGUGAAAAAAUUAGAGUGUUCAAAGCAGGCUUACGCCGUUGAAUAUAUUAGCAUGGAAUAAUAAGAUAGGACUUUUUCGCUAUUUUGUUGGUUUGCGCGAGAAGGUAAUGAUUAAUAGGGACAGUUGGGGGUAUUCGUAUUCCAUUGUCAGAGGUGAAAUUCUUGGAUUUUUGGAAGACGAACUACUGCGAAAGCAUUUACCAAGGAUGUUUUCAUUA
rnacentral:rRNA from 1 species